rnacentral:rRNA from 1 species
GACGAACGCUGGCGGCGUGCUUAACACAUGCAAGUCGAACGGAAAGGCCCUGCUUUUGUGGGGUGCUCGAGUGGCGAACGGGUGAGUAACACGUGAGUAACCUGCCCUUGACUUUGGGAUAACUUCAGGAAACUGGGGCUAAUACCGGAUAGGAGCUCCUGCUGCAUGGUGGGGGUUGGAAAGUUUCGGCGGUUGGGGAUGGACUCGCGGCUUAUCAGCUUGUUGGUGGGGUAGUGGCUUACCAAGGCUUUGACGGGUAGCCGGCCUGAGAGGGUGACCGGUCACAUUGGGACUGAGAUACGGCCCAGACUCCUACGGGAGGCAGCAGUGGGGAAUAUUGCACAAUGGGCGGAAGCCUGAUGCAGCAACGCCGCGUGCGGGAUGACGGCCUUCGGGUUGUAAACCGCUUUCGCCUGUGACGAAGCGUGAGAGACGGUAAUGGGUAAAGAAGCACCGGCUAACUACGUG